rnacentral:rRNA from 1 species
UACAGAGGGUGCGAGCGUUGUCCGGAAUCACUGGGCGUAAAGGGCGUGUAGGCGGCUGGGUAAGCCGCGUGUGAAAUCCCGGGGCUCAACCCCGGAACGGCACGCGGGACUGUCCGGCUAGAGAAUGGUAGAGGCGAGUGGAAUUCCUGGUGUAGCGGUGGAAUGCGCAGAUAUCAGGAGGAACACCAAUGGCGAAGGCAGCUCGCUGGGACGUGACUGACGCUGAGACGCGAAAGCGUGGGGAGCAAACAGG